AGCGUACACGGUGGAUGCCCUGGCAGUCAGAGGCGAUGAAGGACGUGCUAAUCUGCGAUAAGCGUCGGUAAGGUGAUAUGAACCGUUAUAACCGGCGAUUUCCGAAUGGGGAAACCCAGUGUGUUUCGACACACUAUCAUUAACUGAAUCCAUAGGUUAAUGAGGCGAACCGGGGGAACUGAAACAUCUAAGUACCCCGAGGAAAAGAAAUCAACCGAGAUUCCCCCAGUAGCGGCGAGCGAACGGGGAGCAGCCCAGAGCCUGAAUCAGUGUGUGUGUUAGUGGAAGCGUCUGGAAAGGCGCGCGAUACAGGGUGACAGCCCCGUACACAAAAAUGCACAUGCUGUGAGCUCGAUGAGUAGGGCGGGACACGUGGUAUCCUGUCUGAAUAUGGGGGGACCAUCCUCCAAGGCUAAAUACUCCUGACUGACCGAUAGUGAACCAGUACCGUGAGGGAAAGGCGAAAAGAACCCCGGCGAGGGGAGUGAAAAAGAACCUGAAACCGUGUACGUACAAGCAGUGGGAGCACGCUUAGGCGUGUGACUGCGUACCUUUUGUAUAAUGGGUCAGCGACUUAUAUUCUGUAGCAAGGUUAACCGAAUAGGGGAGCCGAAGGGAAACCGAGUCUUAACUGGGCGUUAAGUUGCAGGGUAUAGACCCGAAACCCGGUGAUCUAGCCAUGGGCAGGUUGAAGGUUGGGUAACACUAACUGGAGGACCGAACCGACUAAUGUUGAAAAAUUAGCGGAUGACUUGUGGCUGGGGGUGAAAGGCCAAUCAAACCGGGAGAUAGCUGGUUCUCCCCGAAAGCUAUUUAGGUAGCGCCUCGUGAAUUCAUCUCCGGGGGUAGAGCACUGUUUCGGCAAGGGGGUCAUCCCGACUUACCAACCCGAUGCAAACUGCGAAUACCGGAGAAUGUUAUCACGGGAGACACACGGCGGGUGCUAACGUCCGUCGUGAAGAGGGAAACAACCCAGACCGCCAGCUAAGGUCCCAAAGUCAUGGUUAAGUGGGAAACGAUGUGGGAAGGCCCAGACAGCCAGGAUGUUGGCUUAGAAGCAGCCAUCAUUUAAAGAAAGCGUAAUAGCUCACUGGUCGAGUCGGCCUGCGCGGAAGAUGUAACGGGGCUAAACCAUGCACCGAAGCUGCGGCAGCGACGCUUAUGCGUUGUUGGGUAGGGGAGCGUUCUGUAAGCCUGCGAAGGUGUGCUGUGAGGCAUGCUGGAGGUAUCAGAAGUGCGAAUGCUGACAUAAGUAACGAUAAAGCGGGUGAAAAGCCCGCUCGCCGGAAGACCAAGGGUUCCUGUCCAACGUUAAUCGGGGCAGGGUGAGUCGACCCCUAAGGCGAGGCCGAAAGGCGUAGUCGAUGGGAAACAGGUUAAUAUUCCUGUACUUGGUGUUACUGCGAAGGGGGGACGGAGAAGGCUAUGUUGGCCGGGCGACGGUUGUCCCGGUUUAAGCGUGUAGGCUGGUUUUCCAGGCAAAUCCGGAAAAUCAAGGCUGAGGCGUGAUGACGAGGCACUACGGUGCUGAAGCAACAAAUGCCCUGCUUCCAGGAAAAGCCUCUAAGCAUCAGGUAACAUCAAAUCGUACCCCAAACCGACACAGGUGGUCAGGUAGAGAAUACCAAGGCGCUUGAGAGAACUCGGGUGAAGGAACUAGGCAAAAUGGUGCCGUAACUUCGGGAGAAGGCACGCUGAUAUGUAGGUGAGGUCCCUCGCGGAUGGAGCUGAAAUCAGUCGAAGAUACCAGCUGGCUGCAACUGUUUAUUAAAAACACAGCACUGUGCAAACACGAAAGUGGACGUAUACGGUGUGACGCCUGCCCGGUGCCGGAAGGUUAAUUGAUGGGGUUAGCGCAAGCGAAGCUCUUGAUCGAAGCCCCGGUAAACGGCGGCCGUAACUAUAACGGUCCUAAGGUAGCGAAAUUCCUUGUCGGGUAAGUUCCGACCUGCACGAAUGGCGUAAUGAUGGCCAGGCUGUCUCCACCCGAGACUCAGUGAAAUUGAACUCGCUGUGAAGAUGCAGUGUACCCGCGGCAAGACGGAAAGACCCCGUGAACCUUUACUAUAGCUUGACACUGAACAUUGAGCCUUGAUGUGUAGGAUAGGUGGGAGGCUUUGAAGUGUGGACGCCAGUCUGCAUGGAGCCGACCUUGAAAUACCACCCUUUAAUGUUUGAUGUUCUAACGUUGACCCGUAAUCCGGGUUGCGGACAGUGUCUGGUGGGUAGUUUGACUGGGGCGGUCUCCUCCUAAAGAGUAACGGAGGAGCACGAAGGUUGGCUAAUCCUGGUCGGACAUCAGGAGGUUAGUGCAAUGGCAUAAGCCAGCUUGACUGCGAGCGUGACGGCGCGAGCAGGUGCGAAAGCAGGUCAUAGUGAUCCGGUGGUUCUGAAUGGAAGGGCCAUCGCUCAACGGAUAAAAGGUACUCCGGGGAUAACAGGCUGAUACCGCCCAAGAGUUCAUAUCGACGGCGGUGUUUGGCACCUCGAUGUCGGCUCAUC
rnacentral:rRNA from 1 species